rnacentral:rRNA from 1 species
GUCAGCGGCGGACGGGUGAGUAACACGUGGGUAACCUGCCUGUAAGACUGGGAUAACUCCGGGAAACCGGGGCUAAUACCGGAUGCUUGAUUGAACCGCAUGGUUCAAUCAUAAAAGGUGGCUUUUAGCUACCACUUACAGAUGGACCCGCGGCGCAUUAGCUAGUUGGUGAGGUAACGGCUCACCAAGGCGACGAUGCGUAGCCGACCUGAGGGGGUGAUCGGCCACACUGGGACUGAGACACGGCCCAGACUCCUACGGGAGGCAGCAGUAGGGAAUCUUCCGCAAUGGACGAAAGUCUGACGGAGCAACGCCGCGUGAGUGAUGAAGGUUUUCGGAUCGUAAAACUCUGUUGUUAGGGAAGAACAAGUACCGUUCGAAUAGGCGCGCUACCUUGACGGUACCUAACCAGAAAGCCACGGCUAACUACGUGCCAGCAGCCGCGGUAAUACGUAGGUGGCAAGCGUUGUCCGGAAUUAUUGGGCGUAAAGCGCGCGCAGGCGGUUUCUUAAGUCUGAUGUGAAAGCCCCCGGCUCAACCGGGGAGGGUCAUUGGAAACUGGGGAACUUGAGUGCAGAAGAGGAGAGUGGAAUUCCACGUGUAGCGGUGAAAUGCGUAGAGAUGUGGAGGAACACCAGUGGCGAAGGCGACUCUCUGGUCUGUAACUGACGCUGAGGCGCGAAAGCGUGGGGAGCGAACAGGAUUAGAUACCCUGGUAGUCCACGCCGUAAACGAUGAGUGCUAAGUGUUAGAGGGUUUCCGCCCUUUAGUGCUGCAGCAAACGCAUUAAGCACUCCGCCUGGGGAGUACGGUCGCAAG